rnacentral:lncRNA from 13 species
AGAAAACCAAUUCUCAGAGACCUACAUCCAGACAGGAUGAUCACAGACAAUGUAUGUUCCUAACAAAAUACAUCAAACAUACACACACAUACGACAGAACUAUAUAAUCACAUGUACAAACACUGUAAUUAAAUUUUCAUUGUGUUUCUGUUGUAGAUGAUUUGGUGUCUAUGGGAGCGGUGAGCAGCAGAGUCAUGGUGGAUUCAGGAGAUGCUGGAAUCGAUUCUCAGAUCACAUCUGUACUGUCCACGUUCAUGCCCUCAGGUUUGUCCCUCAGAUCUCGGGACCAUCUGCAAGUGCACAGCUACUGUACAUGCUUAAACUUUGGGCCUAACCUUAUCAACCAUAUCAAAAUGCAUAUAUGACACUUAAAACAGAAAUGAAUGUGUCAGAGCAUCAGCAGUGUGAGAAUAGAGCUGUAGAUCUGCAGGGGGGUUUGAGACAUGAGGAGAAGUGUGAAAUGACAUCAAGCCUUGUUACUUGCUCUUCUUCUGUUUGGCUGUUACUAACGCAAGAGGAACUCGACUAAGUAACACACAUGCAAUGUAGACAUGUAAUAUACACAUGAUCCCCCCUCAAACACACACUCAUACAUACAUACACAACCUCUUACUCAUGGAAUUGUCUCUCUGUGAUGUGCAGGUCCCGUUGAUGUGGAUACACAGGCAUUUGCAAAUAAACAUUCUGAUACGUACCACGUAUACAGCUCUAUCCCCGACAGACCAGCAUCCUCAGCCCAGCCUGAUGGGUUGUACAGUCUGCAGACACACUGAAACUACACCUCUGGCUUUCUGUAUCUAUGUCUCACACAUCUCACACAAAUACAUUCUUUCUCACACAACAUCCUUUAUUAUCACUCAUCCAGUUACUGUAAAUAAGUUGAUUAACAGGUAA